ACCCUUUCGAUAGUAUCAAGCAUCGAUGCUUCGCGAUCGGAAGUUUCAAAUUUUUACACGGAGUUGUUAAUAUUUUUUAAGAAAUCUUUUGAUUUUAAAUAGUUCGUUGUUCUUUAAUACGGCUAAUGUUCGCGUUCAUCUGGAAAUGGAAACACCUGUAGGUGCAUUAUUGUGCAAAUCGCGUCUCCGCCCAAGGAAAUACGAACUUAUCAGCAAUAAGUCAAGGUUUUCGAGGGUUCUUGUCUGUCUGAUUUGCGACGCAGCAAUCGCGAUAGAAUAAGUAGAAGUCCUACGUGACACCGACGGAAGAGGAUGUCCUCGCAGAACUGUGCUGAGUAACUCUAUCCUAACGUCGUGGUCGAGAGCUCGCAAAGUAUAUUGAGUUACGAAAUGAACGGUAAAUCGAGAGGAGACGAGCCUAAAAUAGAGAGCCACUGUCACCACGACACGGUUUAAAUACCGACAUUAAGAUAAUCUUCCGGUUACAAGCCUCGGAGCACGAGGAUCAGGCGAGCUCAACCCUUCCACCAAAUGUAUCUUUCUAUUACGAGGAUAGAACUAGCGAGAAACGCAGAAAAAUAGAGAAUAAAAUUAAUGAAAUUAGGCGUGGAACGUUCGGCUCGUUUAUGCUCGUCAUAUAGUAAGUAUCACUUAUACUUGUAGUUUAAGGAGAAAAACACUUUUCUUUUUCUUUAGUUGUAAACAAAAUGAAAGUAAGUACAGACCUGUCCUUUUAAUCAAUGUUUAUUGUUAUAUUAUAUACGUGAAAAAUGUUGAUAUGGUGCAUAUAAUAUGCUUCUAAAAUAACGGCAAAAACUGAUAAACAUUUUCGUUCUUUUUUUAAACCGACUUCGAAAAGGAGCAGGUUACUCAAUUUGACACGUAUUCUUUUUUAUGUAUGUUACUCGUUUUUUCAUAAUAUCGAGUCUAAAAAUAAUUAAUUCAACUUUAUAAAUAAUAUCUGUUCAACUACUGACGAAAUAAUAUUCUCUAAUACGACGCAAACGAAAUACAGAAACAUAAGCGGUACUCAUUGAUAAAAUUGUAACUUUUUUACAGACGUUUCCCAAUUGAAAAAGUAACCACAUACUUAUGAACAGUGAUAGACACGUAUAAAUAAUCGCACACAAAUUUCAAGGAUGUCAAUUACUUGGUCACCAAAAAGAAUUACAAAAAUUGCCUCGAAACUGGUAAAAAUAAAAGAGCAUCUGUUGAUCCGCGACACUUUACACAGUAUACAUUUUUCCCCGAGAAAAACAACGAUUUCCUGCGUGGUUUAAAAAAAAAAGUGAUUCAACCACAAGGAACAGCGACGAAAGUUUCGUUAACGCGUUGGGGUUGGUCUCGAAAAGGACGGUCCUUCUUUUUCGGAAAUCAUCGAGGGAAGGACCAAGUGUCGCGGUAGCCAGGGGUAAGUGACACCGGCUGAACUCUCUCGUUUCUAUAUAUAAACGAAAAUAAACCAGAGUGACAUUUGAACCAUACUGUCUCUGUCCCGCGUGCAGGACCCCGUGGUCCCCUCCAUCCGCGAUGAGACGACGCGUACGAAAAGGGAAACGUCGCGCGGCGUCGCGACGGCCGUCGAGUAAAAAUUGUGUCAGCUAAAUUAGGAAAACGACUGUUCUAGACAGCUUUCAAGACCGCUGCCUUUUUAAAUCCUGUUCACAAAGAACGCGGUUAUCAAUUCGAUUCGUACGUGGAUGUCUUUGUACGUUUUGGUCAUGUUCACUCAUAAAUUCGUAACAGCUAAACCUGUUUAAAUUUUUGUUUGCUUGAGAGAGAAUAUUUCCCUAGUGGUACUAUAUAAAUUCUAGUAGGAUCGGGGCAUGCAAUUUGAAGUUAGGCUAUGAAAUUUUUAUGAACGGGAACAAUUGCUGCCUAAUUGCAAGCAUUCCAUGCUUUUACUGUUCUCCGACUCGUUGCAUUGUUUACAUUUUAUGAUCUUAUCAUAAGUGUUCGUUUCAUGAUAAAAUUACAAUAUUGAAAGCAAUUAAAAUAUUCUUUGACAAUACAAGUCUAGAUCCAUGAGGCUAGACGUAUUUAUAGAGGCACAAAUUUUGAUAGACAGAUGUCUACAAUGUCUACAAUUUAUACUGUUAUCAAAGUUUCCAUUUUGUAAAAUGAAUAAAACUAAAAUAAAGAAAGCAAUUAAAGCACUCUGUAACAAUAUAAAUAUAGAUCCACAAGAGUAGACUUAUGUUAAUUUAUAAAAAAAAAAUUAAUUGAUUAUAAUAAUUACAUAAAUAAUUGAAGUAUUGAAGCGUAAUUAAGUACGUAAUUGAAGUAUAAUAUUGCAUUUGUAAUUACAUAAAUAAUUGAAGCAUUGAAGUGUAAUUAAAUGCGUAAUUGAAGUAUAAUAUUGCAUUUGCAAUUAUUGGAUGAAAUUUUGUCAUUAGAGAAUUUUAAAUAAUUAUUUCGUUUUAGUGCGUUUAUUAGGGUCGGUUAAACAUUGUUUUUAAGUUUUUUUUAUUCCCUUCCCUGUUCGUUUACGUUGGAUACGCCGGCAAUUAAUCGAUCCCCGUCGUUCGGCACGCUCCCAACGAGUGUCAGCUUUUGUUGCUCGCUUCGCGCGACUUUAUGGCGCGCCACGAGCAAACAGAAGCGGGCAAGUAAGAGGGAAAAUGGAACGAAACGUUAAUCGAGGAAAGUGGCAUGCGUGACGACAGUUCAAAUGAUUUUUCUAACAAAAGCCGAGCAAAAUUAACGGUUUCAUUGGUGUGGAAAAUAGAUAUUGGGUUGCGCCAUAAUUAUCUACAGCAUUCUUAAAUGGUCAAAGUAGGUACAAUUUUUAACUGCAGCUUCUUAUGACUAUUGUACGACAUUGAAAUGUUCAUAGGCUCGAUUACUUAUGUACCAUUGGCAAAUAUUUAUAUGUAUUUUUUAUUUUUUUUUCAUUAGUUUCUUACUUUUUGUGCCAUGUAUUAAUGUAUACAGAAUUGGCCCACUUUCAGAUCUUAAACCUUUAUUUACUGGCGAGACUUAUAAGUCCCGUCAAUUUUCUCAUGGCACUGUAUUAAUUGAACGCUUUGAAACCUAUUGUGACUUUCAAGCCCACUUCUGUAAAGUUCGUUUUUAAUUGUUUAAUAUAAGACCAAGAUGGACGCCUAGAUUUUAAAAAUCUUUCGACAAAUUCAGUAAAUAAAGGGUUAAAAUAAUUCAAACUUUUGGUCUCUUUGAAGUCGUUGCUAAUCAACCUGUAUUUUGUUUAAAAGCUAUAGUGUAAUAUGAGAAAAUCUGCAACAAUAUUUCAUGAUACUUAUUUUUGACUUAGUUUUUACUCAAGGUUCGCCUUUAAUUAUCGCUAAAACUACCAAGUUCAAUAAAUAUCUAUUAUACAACUAUAUUUUUUGUAAUUAGAAGAAGGAUCGGACUGAUUUAUCGAUACAAUUAAUCUUCUAUUACAAGAAUUGUCCUUAAAUAAUGCGAUAAAAAAAUUGUUAAUGACUGAGUGACUUCAAAAAUAAGUUUGAAGUAGGUACAUGGAUCAAAUUGAUCAGCUCGGUAGUUCCAGUGUUAAAAUAAUAUUUUGAUAUUUGACUUUAAAAACUAUUUCAUAAUGUUAUAGUGACAUUAAAGAGAUACCUCACAUUUUGCCAGUUUAGAACUUAGAAUAGUAAACGGACGUACAUGUCCCAGUUUGCAAAUCGCGUUAGAAAAAGUAACAUUGCGAACAAAGCGGACCAACUUAAAAAAAAAAAAGAAGGUGGUUAAUGGAUAUUUCCCGUAUAAACGAGGAAAUGAAUUACGUUACUCGUUUCACUUAUCACAGAGUCAUAGUAACAGGACAUAGCCGCGAGAUACUGAGCGUCCGGCAACGCUGGCUAAAUGAUUCUAAUGAAGGAGUGCGCGGAAAUCGUAAGCAUUGUUUCAUCGCGUGUCAGGAAUAACAAUUUCCAUCAGCUUGCGUCCAUGUAAAGAGUGUCUUCAACAAACGAAGGUACCGACGUCAGAAGCUUCAAGAGUUUGGAUGCCUCAGUCGACGCAAUUCUAUAAAUCAACGUUUUCUAAUCUGUGUUCUGCGAUAUGCCAGUGUGCUAUGAUUGAGUGCUACGUGAGAAAUUUUUAAUUAAGAAGGUACUCUUUUAUUUUUGGUCAAAUAAUACGUUUCUUUUGUUGAUAAUCUUGUUUCUUAAGGUCUUUAAAAUAUUUCUACCAAAUUAUAUUUAAGAAAAAAUUAAUAUUGCCAAAGUUAUAACUGUGUGUAUCACGCUCCGUACUGUUAUACUGAUUGGAUACGAAACUUCAAGAGUUAUCAGCUAUAUCUUCGUAAUUAGAAGGAUCGGACUGAUUUAUCGAUACAAUUAAUUUUCUAUUGCACGAAUUAUCCUUAAAUAAUGCGAUAAAAGUGUACUCUUUUAUUUUUAAUCAAAAAAUGGAUUUGUUUGUGAUAUUCUUGUUGUUUAUGGUCUUCAAAAUGGGAUGAUCAAUUUAGAUCGAAAAAGGCUCAUAUGAUUUAUAUUCAAUCCAAAAAACAAUCAAGUUAAGUUCUGUUAAAAUCCCCCAUUAAAUCCACGGAACCUUAAUCUUCUUGUAGUUACUUUUUGAAGUUUAACGAAGCACUAAUUUUACAUCUCGGUUGGAUAACCUCUUCCUAUGAGCGCGUAGCAUGGGAGACCGUGACAAUAGCUUGUCGCAGAAAUCGAAAAUUGCCUAUAAAUAGCGGACAAUAUGCUUGGGGGUCUGCGAUAUCCCACUGAGGGACAUUCGCCUAUCAAGUCCGCAAUUUGCAGCAAAAUGGCGCACGAGGUCGCUUGCUCGCUAGUCAACCUUCUCUGUAUAUUGCGAUUAGACUGCGGAUUUUGUGCAUUUAUGGUGUAUGGUAAUAUGGAAAAGAUACCAAACGUGUAAAAAAUAUAUUUGCACUUAAUUUACAUUAAUUAUCUCGCAAAUUAAUACAUUAGAGUAGCCAUAUCUUCUGCAUACACUUGGCAUAUGUUCUUUACAACUGUGUAGGUAUGCCAUAAGUGCAUAAAAUCUGCAGUCUUAUUAUCGUUUGAGAUAAUUUUAAUACCAACACAUAUCGUUUCAUACAUAACUCGCGAGUGUUUUAUCUCUUAAUUAUACACAUUCGAGAACUUGAAUGGAAGCGCUAAUUAUACUCUUUUAUCGUAUUUUAAUUCGCUACUUAUUACUGCAUUUCCAGUUAUGAAGUUAUAUUAUUGUCGAUGAGGAUAUCGUCGAAGAUCAGCAAUCUUGGCAACCUUAAAAUUAAUCAUUAGAUUGAUUCCUUAAUGAGAAACUUAGACGCAACUAUUUAUUCCUGGCAUUCAUUUGUCUGCUAUUAUAUUCUUUUAUAUUAUUAUCAUUAUUUUUUGAUAUCUCUAAUCUUUAGUUUCAUCAGGCACCUAUUACUAUUUCU